rnacentral:rRNA from 1 species
UACAGAGGGUGCAAGCGUUUAAUCGGAAUGACUGGGCGUAAAGGGCGCGUAGGUGGCAGCUUAAGUUAGAUGUGAAAUCCCCGGGCUUAACCUGGGAACUGCAUUUAAUACUGGGCAGCUAGAGUAUGAGAGAGGGCAGUGGAAUUUCCGGUGUAGCGGUGAAAUGCGUAGAUAUCGGAAGGAACACCAGUGGCGAAGGCGACUGCCUGGCUUAAUACUGACACUGAGGCGCGAAAGCGUGGGGAGCAAACAGG